rnacentral:tRNA from 1 species
CCCAGUGGAGCACGGCGGUAGUGCUUUCCCCUCAUAAGGGAGAGGUCGCAGGUUCGAAUCCUGCCGCUGGGACCA